CCCGGCCACAGGAUCGAUUGUGCGUACGAGUGAGGCCUCCUGCCCUCGAGCGCCCCACGACUCGCACAGCAGGUCGUGAGACGCCACCCUCCAUCCCCUCGCCCCAGAUCCAUCCCUUCGCCACCGCCAGUUCGUCCCUUCGCCGCCCGCCGUUCCAUCCCUCCGCCGCCGAUCCAUCCCUUCGCCGUCGCCCCGCACAUCGAAGCCGCCGCCCUCCAUCGGACGAACGAGCCCGCCUCAAACGCCGAUGAGAAUAAUGCUCCCCUCGAUCUAUUCGCUGUGUUGAGGGGAACCACGCCCCAGCCGCCAUUGCGGAUCUCUUCGACGCCGCUGAGGCCCUACGGGAGCCACCGACGCCUUCAUUGCGGUGCUCUAGGUCGCCGCCGUCGUGGUCCACAAUCCCCGCCGCCGAGGUCCGUAGUCGCCGCCGUCGAGGUCCGAGAGGUGUCGCCGCCACCUUCAUUCCGGACCUGGAGGUCUGCGCCAAUCCCCAGGCCAGGGCGGUUCGUACCCCAGUCCCCAGGGCAAGGCGGUUCAAACCCCAGUCAGAGAGAGCUAGCCAUUAACCAUGGUACAUACAUCUGUUAAGAUCCCGUGCGUGGCUACGGGUAUAAUGAAUGCAACGGGCACAGCGGUUCCAUGCUGGAUCAUGGUGAUGAUGCAGUCGACUCAGCGGGGGAUAGGAGGCUCGCCGGCUGGCGUUUCAUUGAUGCAUGGGUGUUCCAAUCAUGAUGGUACUGUCGGAUAAUGUACAAGACUUUUUUAGAACAAUGUACAAGACUUUGGACGAGGUUCAUCUGCGUCGAUGUUUGUGGCUGGGUCGCUGGGUACACAAUCCAUUCACCGUGUAAGGUUCAGUCAACUCCUUUGAGGUGCUUAACAAGUAACGGAGGUUUUGGUGUCAUCUGUACUCAGGGAAAGGGUGUGAAGACUAUACAUGUCAAAUCCUCAUACGAAAUGUUGAUCUGUUGUGCUUCUAGAAUUAUGGAUUUCCGAAUAAUUAAAUGACCAGUUAUGCAAUACAAUAUUCCCAUAGUAUUGAAAUCUUCUAUUCUGCAAAGUGUCCUUCAGAAAAUGGCACUUGCACUUAAUAUGGGACACUCCAAAUCCAUAUGUGCAGGCUAUAUCUGAUAUUUUCUCCAUACAGAGUCAGCAGCAACUUGAUUUAUAUUUCCGCUACUUGUCAAUACGAUGGCCCGUUGGAAAUAAAUGAGGUUUGGCCAUCACUUAUACUUGGGAACUACUUUUCAGUGAUAGCUGUGUUGACUAAGAGAACUACGGCGGGCUUACGCUUACCUGAAGUAUAUUCAAAACUAUCAGAGUGUACAACAGAUUAGAGCAGAUUACAUCAGCCUUAAAGACUGUUGGCCAUUAACGGUUAUCUAUGGCACUAAAACUUGUUGAUCUCAACACAUUCACCUCACAACACUUGUUGGCUAAAACAUGUGCAUUUAGCGCCAAAGAAGUUGAGGAAUUAAUGAGGUGAUAGGAGUUGUGUGCUGAGGAGAAACUAUUCUCUUGCAAAUUGGAUAGUUGUUGUAGGAAUUAAAAAGGCACAUGAUUGUAUUGUUGUUGUGGGAUUUCGUUUCUACACGUUCCUCGACCCUAAUGUCUACAUGAGGUGUGAGUUCAACGGAUCGUGGAAAUUACAUUACUAAUAGAAAGAUGCCGCAGCAAAAAGAAUGCUCUCAGCCUUGGACGAUUCAUUCACUCGAUUCUUGAAACCAUUACCUUUUCUGAAGUAAGUCUGGCUAGCACGCAAGGUGCCCUCGCAGGUGAAGGUUGCAUGUCUUCUGCUGGGUGUUUUGAUACUUUUCAGUCUCUACUUGAAUGUUGCGUACCUAAUUUCUUAGUGGCCAACAAUCAUGCACUGAUUCUUGCUAGGGGUCCUCGAGGAAACUCAAUAGAUGGCUACAGAUGUUGCUAGGGGUCCUCGAGGAAACCCAAUAGAUGGUUUUUUCCUGAAGGUAUUAAGAUUACCAAGAUUUGGUCAGCUGUUACACCAUCAUAUUUCGGCACCUGAGUUUUGGUAUGUGCCAUGCAUAUAUUUUGGCAGCAAAUGGGUGGGUGCCUGGGUUCUCAAUGUCCUUCCUAAAUGGAAAUCAUAUACAUACAUAUAUGUUUGAUGUCUUGAUAUAAGUGAAAAUAGUUCAUGAUACCAGCCUAAGACUCUUAAUUUCUGUUUCUUUGCUAUCUGACCUUUGCAUUUCCUAGGUAAGCACUGUGUGAGAUCAUACAUUGAUCAUGGUUCUUGAUAGUUGUGUACUUUUCUUGGAUCUUUAGAAGAAUGUUAUCUUGAGAAAAAAAAAGAGAAAUCAGCUGUAUGUAACUUCUGGAAUUUAGUAUGCUGGUGGCAUUCUAAUGUUUAAUAUAUAUCAGGCAUCAUAUGCCAUGUGAAAAGUCAUGUUAAUAUCAUGAUGGGUCGCAUGCAAGUGCAUGUAGCAGCUCAUCUUAUUUUGUUAGAGAUAAUUUGCAUGGUGAUUACCAUAAUGGUGUCAGAUGAACAAAAUACUUAGUGUGACCAUGUUAAAAACUUAAAAUGAUGGUCUAGGUGAAAACUUGCUAUAAAGAUGGGUAGCAUGUCUUUUAAUCAUUUCUGAGGCAUUUCAUGUCUUAACGGGAAAUUGUUUUUCAAGUUCUCCAUUGGUGCGGCGGGGCUUAGAGGGAUGGCCAGGUGGCGGCCAGCAACAGCAGUGGGCGGAGGUCGAGGGGAAGGUGUGGCAGCGAGGCGGCGCGCGAAAGUUUGCAGUACAUUACACAAUUUUGUUUGCUAUUCAGUAACUAAUGCUAAAGUUUAUUCCUACAGCUUCUACAUGAACAACUCCCUGUUUACUAAAGGCAAAAACUCAUCCUUGAGCCAGCUUACUCCUGCAAAUGUGGGCCAACACACAAUUCACUUCAUGCCUUGUUCAUAACAUCAUAUUUCUCAACCUAAUGGCAUCUGCCAAUGAUCUCAAAAGCCGAUGUGUUCAACUUGUGUUUUUGUCGUGUGUUCAACAUGUAAUGUCAUUUUUGUAGGCUAAUUUCACUUUCGAUGAUCUCACGAUAAAGCGACCAUAGAACGAGAAGGUGAGCUAAAAAUCAUCUUGUUGUUUAUUGUUGCAAAAUUUCCUGUAUGUGUAUCUAUAUAGCAUAAAAAAGAAAGCGACCAUGAUUAUAAUGUCCUACUAAUGUGCUUAUUGAAUUGAUGAAAUAACUCAAAUGUAUUUCUUUAUACUAAUCUAAUUACUUGGAUUGUUUUUUCCUUCGUUUUAUCUUUACCAUUAAAGUUUGUUUUCUAUCUUUUCUGAUUCAUAAGUUACGUUCAUGCCAAUGGAGAUGGUGAAUACACUCCUAUGGUUGGAUGUAAAACCUGUCGAACAGAUGGCCAAACCCAUUUCCGAAGCAGGCCCAAAAAAAAACAUUAUCACUUGUUUUGGAAGCUGCCUAAAGAAAAAACAGCACCGCAGAAACAUAUAUGACUUAAAGCCAAAGGUAACAAUAAAAAUCCUUCUCUGGUUCAUUAAUUGGUUCGCCUAAUCAAAUUGUUGAUUAUGCAACUGAAACCUGCGAGGAAUUAUUAUAAACAUGAUUUGGAUGCAUCAUAUUGAAAGUGGAAUAGGGGCAGGGACGUUGAUCCUUCGUAAUGACCACAGGGACUACUGGAAGGCGCUACGUUUGGCGAGAAUCUGCUAAUCUAUUUCACUAACGCCGUGUGGGCGUUCUUGAAUUCCGAGUAUGCCGCAACUGGAUUUGACAGGGUGAGGGAUGCAGGAGCGGUUCCGAGUAUGCCGCAACUGGAUUUGAUAGGGUGAGGGAUGCAGGAGCGGUCGAUGACGAGGUGGCUCCAUCUAAGGGUGGCCGGUAUGACGUCCGGGAUAUCGCGCACCUAUAGAGGUAAGCAGAUUGUGUAGAACUGCAGCUUGUUAUGUAUAAUGCUGUUUGAUUUAAUCUGAUGCUAUUUUAGACUUAUGCAACCAAAUCUAUCAGAAAGAGUGCAUGAUAAAUAAAGUUUAUAUAAUGGAAGAGGAAAUCCACCCAGCGAGUGCAUGAUGAAGUAGACCACUCUACUUUUUAAACUGGGAACUUCGAUUGGAAAUUGUUACUGAUUAUUGAAGUCGCAUGGUAAGAUAGCUGAAUAGUACUAUUUCAGUACUGGAAGUUUAUGCAAGUUGGUGCACAGUACCGGAAGUGGUGGUAUGAGUGAAAUGAAGCACACUUCUGAUGGGGAGAAAAAACGACUCGUCCGUAAGGAGACAAUUGAUCUCUUCUGAAUCAAGGUGAUGUUGGUUCGACAGAUGGAUAUCUUUACCUAUUUUUGUGAAGAGUUUUGUGUGAACCUGGAAACGACAAGGGGAAAUAUAAUACAGGGUCUAGCAUGAGAAGACAUUGAUUUUGAGCACAAAUGCAAAAAUGCAUAACCGAAAAAUUAAAAGGCCUUUGUUAAUGUCUCAGUUGGUAGUCUUCGUCGGUUAAUUUUCGUCCUAUCUACCAUGUUUUUUUCGUUCUCCCUCCCACCUUACGGUUCCAAAAAAACCAACCAAAACCAACUGAGCCCUGUCCCACAAAACGAAAUCAGAGGAAUGAGGCCUCCAUGACUCCUCUCUCGAUCUGUUUCCUAGGGACUGAACACCGCCGCCGCCGCCGAUCCCAUCUUCCCCGGUGACAUGCCUCGCCGGCGGCCUCCUCUCCCCAUCCACGCCAGCGACCUUCCUCUACCCCGCCCUCUCUGUCAACCCGUCCCUCUAGCAGCUCGGGCGAAACCCUAGCCCACCCGAUGCCACGGCGACCUAGCAGGCAGGCGCGAGGAGCCCUGCCCAGCCAUGGCGACACCGCCGGCGGCCUCCUCCUCCCCCUCACCUUCUCUCCCUCUCCCAAGGGAGGGAAGGGAAUGGAAGGGAUCCGGCGGCAAGGGGAGGCAGCGCCCAGAUCCGCAGCCGCACCGGUGGGCCGCCAUCCCUCGAGGUCGUCCAUGGAGGUCCGAAUGUGAUACAGGCUUGAGGUACGCCUUACAGACUUACCUAUCUAUGUAUCUUAGUUACAAGAGCAUCAAGGUAUGAAUGUGAUACACUACCACCUAUUUUUACUCGUAUGGACCAAAUCAUCAAUGUUAAAAUUCUGAUGUCCACCUAAAAGUAACUGUAGGUUAUUCGCUCAGAAUUGUCGAUUGCCGCUGACCACUUCUUAGAUUUCUAUUAACCUGAGGACCAGAACAAGCAGGUUCAUGUGCAAGUAUAUAGUUUAUAUUUGAAGAGUUAGCUUCAGACAACGCACGAUCUAUGCAAAAUCCAUCAUCUCAUGCUUGCAUAACAAGACCGAUGGUAAUUUGUCUACUACUCUACUUACUGCAGUUUACAAAUUCUUUUAUGGCUUCAGUUCCCACGCCGCUGCACGUGCAGGUCUCUGUUUGCUCAGUCCUCUUGCCGCGACACCAUCACCAAGUCACUCAGAACCCACCACCGCCACAAACACCCCAUACCGUCACGCGUGACGGCCGCAGCAUCACAACUUCACGAGAAGUGAACUAUGAAAUCCCUCCUCAUUCCAAACAAUGAAACUAUGAGGCUGAAAGUACAAAUUUCAUACGACAUGACUGACUUAGAGAAAAAAUGGGCGUAUUUGGAGCCGGAUGAAAAUAUGGGCAGAUUUGGAGCAGUGUGAAGACGGCGCACGCUGGUGUUGCAAUGACCAAAAGUGUCGAAGUGAAAGAAGAGAUGGAAUGACAAUGACACAACCUUGUAGUGUGAUUCUUGUAUGUAUGUUUGAGGUCCGUAGGAAAAAAAUGUAUUAGUGAGAUAAAGUGACGGAGAUAUGCAUCUUAGGCGCAGAUGGAAGCAGAGCACAAAGAUAAACGAAACAUUAUUAGUUUGUGAAUGAACUCGUGGUGGAAAGAAUGUUUUCAUGUUCAUAUGCCACAUUUUCUUA